rnacentral:misc_RNA from 1 species
AAGUCGUAACAAGGUCUCCGUAGGUGAACCUGCGGAGGGAUCAUCAACAUCGCCACCCACACGGUCUCUCUGCCGGUUGGAGGGUUCUCUGUCUCACUCUGUCAGAGUGGCAGGAGCCCUCAGGCCGAGUCAGGAGGCCUGUGACCCACCCUUGAACCUUACACAUACACCCACACCUGACCCACUGCCUUGAAGGACUCCAUGUCCUUCGAUGUUCCCUCCCCAACAUCAGGAAGGACUCUGCCCUUUGCAUGUCGGUGCAAGGAACAGGACCUUCCUAAGUCAACGACUUCAAUCAUUCUGGGCGGUGGACGUCUUGGCUCUCGU